CGGGGCGGCGCGAGAUCUCAAAGAUGUGCUCAAUGUACGACAGGUUGGCCUUGUCCAGCUUGCUGUGCUUCUCCAGGAAGGCGAACCAAUGCUGGCUGGUGGCGAUGGCCUCUCCCUCCCCGCUGGGGAUGUCCUCUUUGCACGCGGAUUUGAGCUGCUCCAGGUCCUCCGCGGUGAUGUUCUGCGCCAGCUCCUCCAGCAGGCUGCGGUACUCGGCCAUGGCGGCCGGCGGCGGUUCCGGCGGCGGUUCCGGCGGCGGUGGCGGUGCUGACGGCGGUAUCGGCGGUGCCGCUGCGGCCGCUCCGUCUGUCGGUGCUCCGCUCGGCGGGGCGG
rnacentral:lncRNA from 1 species